GCGAGAGACAGAGAGGACGGAAGAGGGGGGCGGAAAAAGCAACCCCCCUCGUCCCGUGCGGUCUCUGCACAAAGACGGUCCCGAGGAGCCGGGCGAGCCCGCUCUGCCCCGCCGCCCCCACCAUGAGCAGCCUCAACAAGGAGGGCGAGCACAGCAACAGCACCACCAACAUCGAGGAAGAGGUACGGACACUGUUUGUCAGUGGUCUUCCUGUUGACAUCAAACCCAGAGAGCUCUACCUGCUCUUCCGACCGUUCAAGGGUUAUGAAGGGUCACUGAUCAAGCUAACAUCAAAACAGCCAGUUGGUUUUGUUACCUUUGAUAGCCGGGCUGGUGCAGAAGCAGCAAAGAAUGCCUUGAACGGCAUCCGAUUUGACCCAGAGAACCCCCAGACCUUGCGGUUAGAGUUUGCUAAAGCCAACACUAAGAUGGCAAAGAGCAAGCUGAUGGCCACACCAAACCCCACCAACAUCCACCCUGCCCUGGGCGCGCACUUCAUCGCACGGGACCCUUAUGACCUGACUGGAGCAGCUCUGAUCCCAGCGUCUCCAGAGGCAUGGGCUCCCUAUCCACUGUACACCACAGAACUAACCCCUGCCAUCCCCCAUGCUGCCUUCACAUACCCAGCUGCUGCUGCCGCCGCUGCUGCCCUUCACGCUCAGUGAACUCCAGCCACGAUGCCACGGCAGGCUAGCCUUGAAGCUCAGAGCUGUCCCUGGCGAUGGGACACCCUAGUGAUGCCUAUUUGCAGCUAGUGGAGUGGCUGUACUACAGCUCCAUUCCUAGAGGUGUUAAGCAUGAUGGCACCCACGUCUGGAAAGACUGAUGCGCUGGUAUCCUCCCUCUGAAGCUACCCAGCAAGGAUGGAAGUCUCGUCAGUUUUGUUAGCUCUUCGAGUCUCUUCUUGGCUUGCAUUCUUCCCUUUUUGUCUCUCCAUGGAGUGAUGUGCCAGGGAUGAAGCAGUGGAUCAAUCAAAAUCCCUUUGGUUUAUUUUGUAGGUAUCUGACAAGGUGCCAAGUCUGCAGUAACCUCACACUUCUCCUUUUAUGGAGCUGUGGGAUUUCCCUCCCCUUCCCCUCAAAGACUGUGAAAAUAUAUAUAUAUCUGAACCCAACUCAGUGGACUGCAUUCUGUGUCUGCUUGACCCCCUCCCCUCACCUGCCUCCCUUCCUGAGGCUCCAUGACUGAGUUUCUCCUUUCUCCUACACUGAAGCCUAGUUGGAGAAGCUCAAUCCUGGUGGUGGACAGGUUUGUACCCAACGAGACACUGGUGCCAUUGGAGGCCUUGCUGUUUCCAGAGCAAUACCCAGGCCUGCCUUGUCCUAAACGUUUGUUUAUGCAUUUCUGCCGAAGGAAAUGAAAGACAAUCGGUUUUGCAUGUUUUUCUGGCAUGAAUUAAAACACUUAACUUGUGUAUGUGUGAGUGUGUAAGUUUGUUUGUUCUAGCACUUGUGUAACCGUAGCAACAGGUCUUGGCCUAACUAUUGAUCCAUCAAGGUUUUUCAUCUUGCUUCUGUGAAGACUUGGCUUUCGAAAAAAUUUGCUAACUCUCCUUGUCUCACCCAUUCUCCGUUCACUUCCCUUUCCCUCCUUCCAGUACAACCAGAAGAAUUUGAAAAGUGUUUCUUUUUAAAGUAUGAUGCACUGGGUUUUUUCUUGUCCAUUCUCUCCAGUUUUUUAAAGUCAGGGCUUUUUUUUCCUCAGACAUGUAUAGAAUGGCUGUAAAAUAUAUAUAUAUCUCUAACCUCUCCUCCCCCCCCCCCCAAUCCUUCUGAUUGGAGAGAAUCCAGUCUUGCCAAAUCAGCCAUCCUUAUGGGAAUACGGAACAAAAAAAAAAGUAUGAGUAUUUUUGUACCAUGUGUAAUAAGGAAAUAUUUAUGCAUCAAAGAGUUUCUUGUGUGUUUUGUGUGCAAUUAAUUAUUAUUAUUAUUAUUAAAGAGAAAUUGUAAUCCUGUAAGAGAAGUUAAUGUUUAGUUAAAAGCUUGAAAGGAAAGGAUUGUUUUCUGUAAUAAUGAUUCUGUCAGGCAUAGUAAACAAAUUGUGCAAUUCUUGUUUUUUUUUUUUUUUGUUUUAGCAUCUUAUUGCUUGGUAUUGAAGUGCUUUAAGUAUUAUUAUUAUAAUUAUAAUUAUAAUUAUUAUUAUUAUUAUAUACAACCAUGGCUCUUGCUUGUAUUAAAAGACUUGAGAAUAAGUUGCUAUAAUUGCUGAUCCUAUGAGAAUGUGAAACUGGAUAAUAUAUAAAAUGCAAAAAAAUCCCCCCGAAAACCCA